rnacentral:rRNA from 1 species
UACGUAGGGUGCGAGCGUUGUCCGGAAUUAUUGGGCGUAAAGAGCUCGUAGGCGGUCUGUCGCGUCGGUCGUGAAAACUUGGGGCUUAACCCUGAGCUUGCGGUCGAUACGGGCAUGACUGGAGUUCGGUAGGGGAGACUGGAAUUCCUGGUGUAGCGGUGAAAUGCGCAGAUAUCAGGAGGAACACCGAUGGCGAAGGCAGCUCGCUGGGACGGUACUGACGCUGAGGCGCGAAAGCGUGGGGAGCAAACAGG